CACGACCACUCUUCCGGCAUGACGUAACAUCCCCCGUCUAUGUUCGAAAUUCUGUACUGGAAAAAUAUUCCCCUAGUUGGUAUUUUUCUUGUUUCAUAAAAACGCUAUAUUAAUCAUGUUCUACAUCCUAAACCAAAGAUGUAUUUUAUUCUUCCUGGUCCAACUGCUGACAUACAAUGUGUUGGUGCAGAACAAUGAGAUACGUACGGCUAAAGUAGGUGAUAAAGUCAUCUUAUCAUGUUCCAUCAACCCCACUGGAGUGGUUGGGGAUGUAAUUUGGAAAUAUGAAGAAGAAAAAGUGGUGGUUGAUAUCAUCUCGGGUAAAGAAGAUUUUAACGACCAGAGCCCAGAAUACAGAGGCAGAGUUAAAACUUUUACAACUGAGAUUGCAAAAGGAAACUUCUCUAUCCAGCUGAGUAAUUUGACACGCACAGACUCGGGAAUUUACACCUGUUACGCCCCUAAACCUGUUCAGAGAGUAGAACUGAGAGUUACAGAAAAAAAAAUCAACCCAAAGAAUGGAGACAUCAGGAAAAGUGCAAGCAGCGUGUUCCUGCUGGGGUUCAGUCUGCUGUACAGUUUGGCCUUUUGAAGACAACAUGAAGCUAAACUAUGUAAGCGCUGUGCAAGAAAAACAAGAAGUCAUGAGGCAAACCUUCAUACAAACCUUUUCUAUUUUCCAGCUUUCACAUUACCAACAAUCUGCACAGAUCGUAUAUUAGUGACUCUUGUACCUUGCAGUACAAUCUCUAUAUUUUUGCUCUUUAAGUCUUCUUCAAAUGGUGGAUUGUAAGACCAUCACUCCUGCCCCCUAGAAGUUGUUGGUGAUGUCACUGAUUAUUAUUGUUGGGUGUUUUCUUUCCAGCUCUUUCAGUGUUCUGUCAUCAUCUGUUCAGUGUCUUGCCCAGUGGUUUCUUUCUUUUUAUUUAUUUCUUUUUUUUGUUUUUUGUUCUAUUGUCUAUGCUAAUGAUUGUGCAGUGCCUCUGGUGGAUUUUUCCUCUUUCCUAGGAUUCAGUAUGGCUGGAGUUUCUCCCAUAGACAGCUUUCUUGAUCUUCAUGCUAGUUUAUAUUUUUUAACAACAAAGGCGGGCAUCACUGGUGAAACCCAGGGUUUGGUCCAGGAAUAGACAGCUCUGCUCCCUGGACAAUAAAUUGGACUACAUCAAACUCCAGCUGACUACAUGGAGAAUGUUUAGAGACUGCUGUGUCCUGGUCUGCACAGACACCACCAUUCAGCAGGAUUCACCUCGUUUCUUGCAAACAGAAUUGCUUCAGUUUUGAUAAAAGUGCCUGUGUUUACCCCCAAACUGUUGUGGGUAUAAACACAUGCAUUGAAACAACCACACAAACUUCACAACAUCCAGUUUUUCAAAGAAAAGACAACAGGUUGAAUGCUUCAGCGUAUAAUACCAUUAACCAUAUUAUGUGUAAACAUUAUACAACAAAUAUUAAUCUUCAUUAAGUCCUCAUUCACAAUCCGUACUGUAUCCCUGAGUGGGUGAAAGAGGGAAAUAAGGAUGCUGGAGGCAGACGAGUUCAAACUCAAGCAAAAGAACUUUAAGACAAAACUGUUCCAGAUUAAAGUAUGUAAGGAGUGCUGUAAGAGCAGAGCUGUUUUCAUAUACACACCAAUCCACUUUCCUCUCUUGCAACCUGCUGGACUUCCUGUAUAUCCUGAGUGACCGGUUUAACUAAAUUCAUGUGUUUUGAGAUUUGUUAUUUUGGUUUAAUAUUUAUUUUGUUUUCUGAUUUAUUUUGUAUUUGUAUUUAUAUUGUUUUCAGAUUUGUUUAGUUUUGCACUUCUUGCCCACUGUAGAAUGCACAUCAUCAGCGAUGAAUUACUGGUGUGUGAAACUCCCCGCUUGUUCAUUCACAGCUGCUUAAAGCUUUCUCGCUAGCAGUUGCUUUUUCUUAAAUAUUGCUUUUAUCCAACAGUUUUUCAAAUAAGAAAUAUAGAGUAAUUGACAUUUGUGAUGGCCCUGCGAUGGACUGGCGACCUGUCCAGGGUGUACCCCUGCCUUUCGCCCUAUGUGCGCUGGGAUAGGCUCCAGCAGACUCCCGUGACCCUAGGAGUCCUAGGAAUAAGCGGGUAUAGACAAUGAAUGAAUAAAUGACAUUUAUGAUACAAUAUGGCCAAAUAAUAUUAUUUUUUCUCUGUGAACUGAAAUAGAUUUCAGGAAUAGAUAGACCUGUCGGCUAGCAGGCUAGGGAUCUUAGUGUGUUGUACAUUUCCGUUAAAAGAUUAAUUAACUGAAACUGGCCUCUCUUCUAACUUUUCAUCUUCAGCUGACAAGAUUUCAUUUUUUUUACGUCAAAAAUUCAUGAGUAAUGUAUUGUUGUCCUGAUGAUUUCUUUUUCUUACAAGAAUUGUCAAUGUUUGUUAGCACAUUUCUUUAUUUUGCAGUAAUAUUUAUCUUAUAGGAGUGUACUGGAUUAAUACAUAGUCAUGUGUUCUUCUGCUGCCAUCUAGUGGACACAGUUAAUAAAUCAGAAAGCUUAGUUCUGGCUGCAUGAGUGCCGGGUGUUCCUAAUAAAGUGGAUGGUGAGUGUAUAGCAGCAAAAUCAGGUUAGGUCUUCAUGUCAUUGUGUCUGAGCUCUGUGAUUCAGAGAGAUGCUUUUCACUCAGAUUGGGACUAAAUGUAAAUUCAAUCUUUAUUAAAACAAUUAAAGUAAAUAAUUUGUUUUAUAUAUACUUGAUGUUAAGAGUGUAAAGGUCAAAAAUAGAAGAUGGUUAUAGUUUUAAUCACAUCUCCUCUGCUUGCCUUUGAAACUAUACGAUACUGGGAGUAAAAUAUUUACAUCAAACAAAGGCUUCACUCCAAUUCUGAACUCUAGUGUAUUGACUGCACACCUACCACGAUUGGUUAUUUGAAGUGUUGCAUUUUAGAAUUUCUAAUGAACAAGAAGCCUGGUAUAUUUAUACGUACGACAGAGCUGCUAUAUCACCACUUGACGUUGAAACUCUUCUGUACUGAAGAUUAUCCCAUGUCAAUGACAAAGUAUUCAUCUCUGUGGCUUAUUAAAUAUACAGUUGUGUUCAAAAUAAUAGCAGUGUGUUAAAAAAAAAAAGUGAGUAAAGCUCAAAAUCCUUAUAAUAACUUUUAUUUCAAUAAACGCAAACGCUUUGGGAACACUGCACAUUCAAUUCUAAAUCAAUACAUGAAGAAAAAUUUUGGUGAAAUAAAAAAUAGCAGUGUCUGCAUGUUUCUUUACAAAGUCAAACAUUUACUGUAUAAACUGAAAAAUGCCUGAAGAUUUAGCUUUCUUGUGAAUUGCUGAACUAAUAUUUAAUUGUAUAACCAUGAUUUCUGAGAACUGCUUCACAUCUGUGUUGCAUGGAGUCGACCAUCUUCUGGCAUUCCAGGUAUUCCAGCCCAGGACGACUGCACUACACUAUAAUUCCUCUGUAUUUCUUGGUUUUGCCUCAGAAACAGCAUUUUGUAUAUCAGCCCACAAGUUUUCUAUUGGAUUAUGGUCCGGGGAUUGGGCUGGCCACUCCAUAAUGUUAAUCUUGUUGGUCUGGAACCGCUUACUGGUGUUUUUGGGGUCGUUGUCUUGUUGAAAUACCUAGUUCAAGGGUAUUUCCUCAUUUUCUGCCUUCAUCCUUAAAUAAGGGACACUUGUUUGACACCAGUUUUUUCACAGACUAAUUCACCUCUUUAAUUGAACUCCACACUGCUAUUAUUUUGAACACACCCUUUUCAAUGAAUAAUUCAGUUACACAGCAUCAGCAACAUGCAUGUCAUUACGGUUGGGUCUGUUGGUUUUCUAUUACUCUUCUACUCCUACUAGUAAAAUAUUUGCCAUGUAGAAAUAUAAUUUCUACCAAAAACAGUGAUUGAUCUGGUUAGUGAUGUUGGACUGCUAUUAUUUUGAACACAACUGCAUUAGCCAAGAUUCUCCUUACAGAAAAGCUUGGCAAAUACAUACUUUGUUCAUUUGUUUAUUAGCCUUAGUCUAUGUGAAGUGUCCGCUGUAGUAAUCCCUGUGAAUGCACUUGAUAAUUUAGAAGUGAUUUAUAUUACAGAGAGAACUGCUGCAAUCACAGAACAUGAAUACACACCUUGUGGUUUGGGAAUGCAACUGUAAUGACAUCCUGGAGUUAUUUUAUAAAAUCUGACAUUAAUGAAACUGAUGUUUGAGUGCUUUUUGAGGCGGGGAUGAGGGAGGAAAAAAAGUAGUUGUGGUUAUAACUUCAGCGUACACUUCCGCACACUUCUGCCUCUGAACUUCAACAGAAGUGUUUCCUGAAAUCAGACUCACUGCAGUGUGUUUCGAGCUUCUGGACAGUGUUCAGCUGUCAGCAUGAGGAUCUUGCAACUUCACUUUUAUCUACUUGUGUGCUGUGGAGCUGCUGAAUGUUUCACAGAGAAGUCGGUCAGUUUGGGACAAAAUGUGACCCUAAAGUGUGAGGUGUCUGUAAGAGACGUGUUCUGGUUCCUGAUGAAGCCGUCAGAAGCUCCAGUAUAUAUAUUACGCUCUUUCUCUGACAAAUCUCUGUCAGCAGAUUACAGAAACACAACCUUCAGCAAGAGAUUCUCACUGCAGUAUAACAGCAGUUUAUUUAUACACAAUAUCAGUACUAAUGAAUUAGGAGUCUAUUAUUGUAUUCAGACUCAAAAAGCUUCACCUCCAGACAUCAGCAGUGGAAUCAGACUUUACAUCCAGAAUCAUUCAGCUGAGAAUCAGACAUGUAACACUGAGCGUCCGCAGAAUCACACAGAAUCAGAUAGAACUGAAGACAUCAGCCUCUGGACGAGUCUCAUAAUCUCAGUAAUAAUAAACUGUGCUCUGGUCAUUACAGGUGUUACAGUUCUUACGGUUUAUUGCUGCAGAAGAUCUCCAAAAACCCGAACACAACCCCCUGGUUUGCAGCAGAGUCAGGGCAACAACGACCUUGUGGUAAGCAAACUGCUCUUUUUUGUUGUUGUUUUGUUGUUCUUGCAAAAAAGACUUUAUAUACACUUUUUACACAAUACGUCUAAUGUAAAAGUUUAUGUUCAGCUCAUUUUUAGCCCUUUUCAAUCAUCUCUACCUCCUCUUCAAUCAUCUUUACCUCCUAUUUUACCUCAAUUUCCCAACUUUUCUGUAUUUCGGAAGACCCCUGAGUGUGUUAAAACUUUCUGUCUCCAUUUCCAUUAAUGGUGUUUAUUCUGAUCAGUGAGAUGAAGAGAUAUAUUUAGUAUUUGAGUCAGUGUAGAUGCGGGCAUGAUGUCAGUUGGAGUUGGAAAGUCCCACGUGUGAAAGUUGCAGCGUACCACAGACUGAAACAGGUUCAUGUGUGUGUGACGGUGAUGCAAGUUGGUAAAAUGUGUUAAAGACCUGCUAAAGAAACGCCACGGCUGCAGUGCAAAUAUAUUCUUAUGAACUUGCACAAAAAGCAUGCUGAUGAAAAGUUCUAUUAUAGUUUUGCAUUUAAGCUUUAGAAUAGAAUUAUUUUUAAGAACCAGGCUGACGGUCCACCUCUUCUGUGAACACUUAACUAACCCCUAACCUAAAAAACUCUGUUCUGCACUCUGACCCUCUAACAAUAAAAAAAAUCUACACUGUCCUCUGCUUUGAUAUAUCGCUUUGCUUAUUGCAUUUCCUCGUUUGUAAGUCGCUCUGGAUAAAAGUUCCUGCUGUGUGAUUAAAUGUAAAUGUAGAAUACACUAAAAAUGAAGAGUGUACCAGCUAUCUUCAAGCUCAUCACUGUAAUUACAGCAAAACUGCUUGGACAUCCACUUUAAGUACACUAGAUAUAUUAAAUAUGUAUUCUUGCUAAUUUUCUUUGCAGGAAAACUUAACGUCUAGAGCACUUAUACAAAAUGAAUACAAGCACAAAUACAAAGAGACGCAUUUGUAUGUACUGUGACUUCACUGAGGAUGUAUAUCCUCAAUUAUGGUUGAAUGUGUUAAAGUCACAGAAUUGACAGGCAGAAUUGCUGUGCUGUUGUGAACAUUGUGGUUAUAUGUACAACACAAACAGCUCUGCUCGUCUCCUCUCUCACUUCAAAGCAGUGUGAAAAACAUGGUUAGUUGUGGAGAUACUUAAGAGUGUACUUAAGAGUGUACGCACUGCAUUUAGUCUGAAAUUAACUAACAUGUUAGUUAACACGUUCUUUCAGUACGCAGACGUGCAGGUCCUCACGACAGACAGAGCCACCAGGACGUCUAAUCUGAACAGCACUUAUGCUCUUCUAAAACCUGUGACCCGGAGUGACCCCAGACACACCACAUGAUGCUUCAUCAAACUGUAUCUAGCCCCAGUUGCUGAUUUUAUAUAUACAUAUAUACACACUUUUUCAGAGGUACAUUUCUGCUGCAUUUUCACCUCUGCAGCGUAGGAAGUUUCUGUACCAUUUCUGACCUUUGAGCUACAAAAGUUGGGGCAAAACCAUGGACCAGCUAACUGCCAUGAGCCAUGUACAUUUACCUAGAAACUGUAUAGUCAGUGUUAAAGAUUUAACAAGCAAAUAUGUCUGAAUGUUGACUGAUCUUAAGUAAAUACUUGUACAUACAGUAAUGCUCAUUUAAACGUAAGAUUUUUUUUAAACUACUUUUCCUGAUGCUGAAGCUGUGAGCAUUCAUUCUGGCUUGACAUUUCUGGCUGAGCUCGUGUGUCGAGGAGACGAGUCGAGUCGAGUCGAGACGGAAUUCUAAGGCUGUUUUGUUUUUAUUCUCCUAGUCAGAUAUUGAAAAUGACAAGUGAUGUUCAGUUCAUGUAAAG